AAGACCUUGCGCUUUUGGAGCGGCCGAUGUCUGAUUAGCUUGUUGGUAAGGUAAAAGCUUACCAAGGCUUCGAUCAGUAGCUGGUCUGAGAGGACGACCAGCCACACUGGGACUGAGACACGGCCCAGACUCCUACGGGAGGCAGCAGUGGGGAAUUUUGGACAAUGGGGGCAACCCUGAUCCAGCCAUGCCGCGUGAGUGAAGAAGGCCUUCGGGUUGUAAAGCUCUUUCAGCCGGAACGAAACGGUUACGGUUAAUACCCGUGACUACUGACGGUACCGGAAGAAGAAGCACCGGCUAACUACGUGCCAGCAGCCGCGGUAAUACGUAGGGUGCGAGCGUUAAUCGGAAUUACUGGACGUAAAGCGUGCGCAGGUGGUUUUGUAAGUCAGAUGUGAAAUCCCCGGGCUCAACCUGGGAACU
rnacentral:rRNA from 1 species